CAUUGGAUCACGCCACGCUGACAUUCCUCAAAGAGUGGCACCUGUCAUCUUUUCUGCCUCUACGAAAAAAAAGAAAAGAGAACACACACACACACACCGACCGUCGCUCUCCUCGAUCAGAGCAGAGCCUCCCCCCUCUCUCUUUUCCCCUUCUCGAAUUUGCCGAUAUCCCUCCUCUCCUUUUCUCUCUCUGUGCCCCUCUAUUUUUUUUUCCAUUUUGUCUUAUUAGCCGUUUUGGAAGCCCGCGUCUAUCAGUCAGCGACAGUUGUGCGACGUCUUUGUCUCUCGUUCUUUUCGUCUCUUUUCUCGUUCCCCCCGUGUUGUUGGGCUUUGUGUGCUCUGGCUGCUUUUUUGUUUUUGACUUUCCCUCCCCUUGAUUCUCCUCCUCCCCCUUUUGCGCUCUUCCAUUGGCCGCUCUCUUUUUAUUUGUUGUCCCCCCCCGCAAAUAUCAUCUGUACCUGUUCUCCGAUAUUUUCCUUACGUGCUCGUCUUCCCCCCGCCUCCUCCUUCCCUGACGGACACUUUGCGUCUGCGUGCGCGUGCGGCUCUGAUUCUCUGACCGCGUCUUGCCACAUUGCCCCCCCCCCUCCUCCUCCUCCUCCUUGUAUAUAUAUAUAUAUAUUAUAUUAUGUUUUGUGUGUGCUCUGUUUUUGUGAUUCGCGUUUUGCUUCUCUGUAAAGGUUCCUUGUUUACCACGCCUGCGGGAGCCCUUUUUUGAUUAUCUCUCUCUCUCUCUAUCUGUGUUGUUGUUUUUGUGGCUUCGCUUGCAUGCGUUUUGGAUCGACACGCCACGAAAAAGAAAAGCGGGCAAAUCUACAACAACCCAAAGAAAGAAAAAGAAAAAAAAAUAUUGCUUGAACAGCGUCGCGAACAACUGGUGCAUAGGAUAAAAAGAAAGCCUUACACGUGAAAAUAAGGGAUCUAUUUUUCUUCGACGUGGAAGACAGGACCGAAAAGCGAAGAGUGCGCACUCCAGCUUGACGCCGGUGCCUCUGGUUUCGUCUGCUUUUCGUUACCCCAGAUAUUUCAUCGCUAUUCUUCUCCCUUAGUCGUCUUCACAGGGUUGGAGUAUCGUAUUCAGUGCGCACAGAGCGGACGCUGCCGAAGCUGCCCUUUUCGCCUUUUUCGCACUCUCGCUCCCUUUCCCUCGCAGAAGAUUUUUCUGUUCCUCGAAAGGCGUCCCUAUGAAAGGAGCCACCUUUUGCUUUCUCUCCGUACAUUCUUUUUUUUUUUUUCGCGUUUGGAUUCGUUUUUUUUUUCUUUCAUAACCUGCACAACGCACAUAUACAUACGUAUUCGCUCACGUUUAGUAAAGGCUCAUCGCCUUCGCGCCCUCUCUCUCUUGCUUCCUGUUUAUCUUUUUUUUUUCGUGUUGUACGGACGGGCUCUUUGGUAGCGACAGGGCUUCUUCUCGAUCUCACUCACUCUCUCGCGUUUCCGGUUUCCUUUCCUCCGUUGUUGUUCCUACUUUAAAAGGAAAGGUACGCUGCAGCGCAAAGAGUUUGAGAAACGCCAGAUAAAAAAAGAAGGCAAAACAAAAAAAGUGUGUGUCCCUCCUUCUCCACCCACCAGAAGAAACACAGAGAGGCGCACGGGUCCGAACCCCACUAACGCCAACAACAACAGCAAAAAAAAAGCAUUUUGCGACUGGGAGGGCGACCUUUUACAGAAAGUUUAAACAGGACACACACACACACACGAAUUGAGUCAGCCUCCCUCACGCCAUCUCUCAUCCCAAGUUCUCAAAGCAGGAGCGAAUAUAAAAGCGAUACCGCCAGUGGCAAGAAAAAAGUCCAAGCACGGAAGAGAAAUACACUAAUCGACAAGAGUACGAAGGUGCGAGGAGGGUCUCGUUGCUUCGCCAGCACGUAGAAGCAUACACAGCUCUGCGGCGCUCCCCUAACCUCUCUCCGCCGUUUCUUUCCUUUUUCUUCCUUUCCUGCUCUGCCGUUGUGCGCAUCUCGCAGUCUGAACCCUUUUCAUUUGAGAUCGCUGCAGACGGGGGGGAGAGAACGCAGCAAACGACGGCGACAGAUACGAAUACAGGCGGCUCGGGCGAUCUCUUUCUCCGUUUCUACGCACUUUGAAACGCUAGUGUUUCAAUCUCAGCCUUCCCUCAGUUCUAUUUUUUAACUUUUUUUUUGCGUUUUCUUUUUUCUUGUGGUCUCCAGCUUGUGCCUUCUUCGUGGCUCCUCCCCGUUGUCGUCCUCCCCCAACUCUUCUCCAUUUACAUGUUUUUUUUGUUUCGCACAGCUUCACCAACCUCUCUGCACUUCUCUCUUCGUGCUGAAAACGGCAGAAAGACGAUACAAAAAAAUAGAAGCAACACUUCCAUUCCUCUUCUCACCCCGUGCCUCCUUUUUAUCUGCUGCUCCAUCACUCCAUAGUCUUCUUGUUCGUGCACUCUUUUCAUCUCUCUUCCCCACUCCAGAUAUUUGCGCAUACGCUCUGGCACAGACCCCCCCCCCCCCCUGCCCACGCCCACGUCCACGCCCCCCGUGUUACUGACACCUCUCGUGCUUUCGGUGCCUGCGUUGUCUGGCGCUAUUCCGAUUCGCAACUACAACCGAAAGUAACAACAACAAAAAGACAGGUUGCAUUCAAGGAGAGAGAGAAACUUAGAAAGGGAAAGGCAGAGUCGACACGCUCUGCAAUCCCUCCAUCGAAGGCGACGUUGACUCGGAGAGAUCGCGUCAUCGAAAGCGAAAAGGUCUCCCUGCUCGUCGCCGUGCUUGUUCGCUGUUGGAUUGUUAUCCUACUGCUCCAUAUCUUUUAAACGUCAAUCAUUUCGACUCGCACGACGCUCCCCCUUCUUGUCGCUCUUUUUAGGUUGUCCCGCCCCACUCUGCUCCCUCCGCAUCCCUCUUCUGCUCGGACUCUUUAUUUUUUUUUCUUGUCCGUUUGAUUUGCCCCCUUUUUUCUUGGUCAUUAUUUUCUUGCGUGCGUGUGCGUGUGCGAUCGUUUUUUGGAUCCCUGUCCGCGCCACUCUGUGCGUCAAACAGGUUUAUCUCGUUUUCUUUCCUUUUCUCUUUUUUCGCUCUGCGCUGAUAGCUUGUUCGUCUCUUGGUUCUCUCGCUCUCUCUGUCUUCCCUGCGUUCUCGUGGAAGUCCACAGCCUUUCUUGGCCCUUGUACAUCCUCGCGUGCUUGCAAAGCAGGAACAGCCGAGAGGGCAGAAAAGCAAACAAAAUGGGUACCGCGCCGAGUGCGGAGAUCGUGCCUGAUGCCCCUUUCCGCGUCCCACAAAGCGGCGUGCGGCAGGUGGCGCUGAUCCCCAUUGUGGAGCAGUACUUUCCUACUCCCGACUGCCCGCUGUUCAGGCAACUGUACGAAGCCUACACUGACCCAUCGGUGCGUUACUACAUGCGGCCCAACUUUGACGGCAAAAGCGGCGACCUCAGUCGCAUCCCACCCAUCGAGAACUCGCGUGAGGACAUGCACCACCUCCUGCUUCGGCACACAGCACAGGGUAUGUUUCUGACCAAUGCCGCCGUCCGCGAGGUCUACGAGGCCGGCGACCUCUACCGCAUCCGCCCCGUGCUGUGCGCUGUUGUGUUUCUCUACGAGGGCACGAACUACGUGCCAGAGGGCAGCGUGCAACUUCCGUCGCCGAGCCGCGGCGGCGCGUCUGCGUUCGCGAAAGUGAUCGGCAUCAUCGGCGAUACCUGCACGUUGGUGAGCAAGCCAGACGACCCGCUCAUUCCUUUUCGACGCGACGAUGUGCUGAAGAUCCGAACGUUGAUUAUGAAGUCGGCGGGAGACCACAACAUGUCCCGUGUAGUCCUGCUCGCGGCCUACAUCUACUACCAUCAGUGCUGCAGAACCAUCGGUCUCCCGAACGUGCCUGCACUGCCGGCCAGCUUCACGUGCUUUAAGACCAACAUUCCAUUUCUGUGCUUUCUGCGAGAGAUGCGGGAUCGCAUGGCAAACAUUCUGGAGGCGCCGAAAAGCUCCAAAUUUUACAUUGACGAGUACUGCCUCCACGGCGCGGUGAGUCGCGAGUAUGUGGCCAAGAUGAUGCCCGCCGUCGCCUGCUACUACAUCUCCUUCCUGAAAGCAAAGUCAGAGCAGCGAGUCCUGAAGCAACUGUCGCAUCAGCAGCCUAUCGUGACGGGCUGCGCUGGAAAGGAACGUGCUGGGCUGACGGGGAAAGCUCUGAUGAACCGCGCUGAGACUCACGUUGGCAGCGUCUACACCGAUGUCUUCAACGACCACGAAUCCCUGGCCGUGAAGGCGGCAGCGUUGGAGGGUGCGUUGAAGAGCGGGGGCAACACUGCUCCGAAGAUCACCUACGUGGUGAAGGGGUACGUCACUCGCGCUGUGACAAGCAUCUCGAACUGGAGUCACGCGGCCAACGAGGUGUACGUGGUCUGUGUGGACAGCACCGUGACGGUGGUGGAUCGCGCUUCGGUGGAAGCCCGCAAUGGGCCGACGCACACGCCUUCGCUGUCGCACCAGCUGGGCCUGAGCGAGGACGCCGAGGCGGCCGACGGCACGACAUCGGCGGUGGUGGAGACUCUUCACGUGCGUCGGGGCGACAUCCUCUCCUUCUACGUCCCUCCGAGCACCCGCAGCACUGGCGCCAGCCCAAGUCUCGGUGUUACCGCGGCACACGAUGUCAGCGAGGAUGAAGAUAUCUUCUAUGGUACAUCACACCUCGAAGCGCUGAAGUUCUGCUCGGACAACACCUCGCCGUUGUUGUCUUCGUCAUCUGGGGCACCGUUGCGCUGUGACUCAGCGGGUCUUGCUCUCGAUGCUGCGAAGGGAGCCUCCGAUGAAGACAGCGCGUCCGCGGAGGCCACCCCCUCCAGCGGAGCGACUGGCCUCGACGGCGAUGCCGCCCCCUUUGAGGCGAAGAAGGGCAGCUGGCGCGUCGACAACAUCUUCAUCGAGAGCGUCCUUCUCUCCCUCGUGCGUGAUGAGUGCAAGCUGGCGCGUGAGGCGACAGAACAGGACCCGGGGUGGGUCUACGACGAUGCCAGCAGGUCCUGCGUCCACGACGGCUCCUUCUACGUGUGGCACUUCCGUCGUGGCCACGAGGACUUCUACUACGGCACCGUGCCUAAGUUUGCCAACCCAAACCGGCAAUCGAACCGCAAAAACGGCGGCUGCAGUAGCGGUAACGCGGUGCAGGGCAAGGUUGACCGCGGCGGCGUCGGCGGGGCCGGGGCUGCGAGAGAUCCGAACAGUGGUGUCCGCAACAUUGGCGCGCGCGGGAAGAAUGGCGACACAUCGCCAAUGCUGCCGCCAAGCGUGCCUCCGGUACACAGGCAGAAUAUCUUUUCCCAGCCAUCCCAGUCCUCGAAGCUGCCGCAGAAAGGCGAGUUGCUGCCCCUCACCCUUUCGGCGGCGAGUCCAGACGUUCAACAGGCGUACCUCGCGUCUAUCGCCUCUGGGGUCUCGUUGCCACAGCCUCCCGCGUACGAUGCAAGUACGCAAUCUGCAGUGCAAGCUGCCCCAAUGCCGUUUGCAGGCAGCAUUGGCCAUGGCCACCUCAAUUCAAUGUAUGCCACAUACCCCGCGGAGGCGGCGGCGAUGGCGGCGGCGAUGGCGGCGGGAGGCGCCCCCGUGAUGUACACCUUCAUGCCUGUCAGUCAGGGUCAGAGUGAGAUGUCGCCGGCGCCGCAACAGCAGCUGCACACCAUGCCUCCCCAGGGAAUGUACGGUCAUGGGGCGCCCCCUCUGCCCCCGUCUCCUCCGCAGCAGCAAGCCGUGUGGGGCGUGGCGGGUGCUGGCAACAUUCAAGGCACCGCAGCAACAUCCCAGUCGGUCGGGACAUGUGUCGUGAAUGCACUGGGCCAACUCGUUGCUGUAGGGGGCUUAAUGGGCAGCGGGGUCGCACCAGCGCCGCAGGUGUCCUACACCCCGUCUGUUGCUGCCGCCGCACCGCAGUCGUACCCAAGCUAUGUGAUGGUAAAUGGGCAGCUCUGCAUCUUGCAAUCGACCGCGGCUAGCGCCACCGGCGCUGCACCAUCCCCGAUGCUAUCCUAUCAACAGCACCCGCACAUGAUGACCUUCACUCAGUGACGGAGCGUUGAAGCGCCAGCUCCUCUUUUUUUUCCUUUCCCUCGUUCGCUUCUGCGCACCAUACACGAUCGAAGCGGUGGAAAGGUGGCGGUGGGAAAGGAGGUUAUUGAGUGGAGGGGGGGUCGCGAGACAGCCGCAUAGCCCAGCGCUUGAGUACACGCGUGUACCCACGGUAGCGCGGGUGCCUCACGCUUCCUUUCUUGUUUUUUUUUUUCGCGCUGCUUUCCGCAGUUCUUGUUCGUGUGCACUCACGUAGGUUUCUUUCGUUUUCCUCGUUGCUGCCGCCUCCUACACAGAGCUGGUCGCUUAUCGAGCUCCUGGUUUAUCGAUAUGGACGCUUCGGGAAAGGUCUGCGCAGCCUUUUAUUCAUUUCUUUGUAACCCGUGUAUUAUUGCUUGCCUUGCUCGUGCAUAUGCGUCGGUACCCUCUACACAAGCCCCUUCUCGUACACAGUGACACCGACACACCCACGAAAAUGCCCCAGCAAAGCGGGCAGCGCCGCGGUCGUCAGUCUUUGGCGCUUGAUCGCUGCUCUGAAAUACGGAGUAGAGCGCCUGAGUUGAGGAGCAGCAAAGGCAGAGCGACUAAAUAAGGAAGAAGAGCGAAUCAUUGUACGCCAGAAAUGCAUGGACCAGUAGCCGACAUGCGCGUUAAUGGCAUUCUCUCUUCGUACCUCUUAUGUCUCUUGCUUGACCUUGCUUUCUUUUCGUCUCGGAAGGAUGUGGAUGUGUGACUCUCUCCUCCCUUCCACUCAAUGCCUUUCUUGCUUGUCCGCUUCAUGCACCGCUCAGCGCUUGCUUUUUUCUUUUCUUUCUUUUUAAUCGUCUCGUUUUCCUUGCUGUUGUCUUCUACGACGGCAACUGUCAUCACUACCCUCGUGAAUCGAGCAGGCCUUAGUGUCCAGGACAAGAGCUUCAUUAGUCGCCCGCCCCUCCCUCCCCCCUCAACACGAAGUCUUGUUCCCGUACCACUAAAUCCCCUCCUCUCUCCCUCUUUAUUUCUAUCCCAUGUUUUCACUUGCUUGAUGCAGCUUUUCGUAUGUACUUUUUUUUCGUUGUUUUCGACUUGCCAAUGCUUGCUGCUGUAAGCGAUGUAUCUCUCUUUUCUUUAGUGCGUGCGCCGUGUUCUCCCUCCGUCCCUCCCUCAUGCACCAGUGUGCGGUGGUGCGGGGGGAGGUGGGAGGAGGGAGGGAGAGGGGGGGGGUACGUUUUUUCUCUUGUUUCUCUGCUGCUCUUCUCGUUUUGCGCGCUCCGUUUUCCGUUUUGCUAACUCUUCUCUCCUCUUUCCUCCCUGUUCCCUGUUGACACACACUCUCGCUUCCCGUUGUAUUUGCUCUUUCUUUCGUGUUCUCGUUUUGUAAAGAAUCAUCAGGCUCUCAGGAGAGGCCACCCUCCCCCACCCCACCACACACCUCACCCCUUGUCCUCUCUAUCCCCUCCCUCUCUCUGUUCUUCCUUUCACUUUUAUGCAGUUUUUCACACCUUUUUUUUCGAAUCUCUUCGCUCUUCCUUUUCUUCGCCCUGCUUCGAAAUCCUGAAGCCGGAGGGGGACGCACCCCUCUCAGUGCGUGGCAUCUCAGGGUCCAGUGCACCCCCACUCUGUGUGUUUGUGUGGGGAAGCCGAGCCGCCCCCCUAUCCCCUGCCGAUGCUGCACCGCUUCUGGCCGUAGCAGGGUCAGGCACCUACCUACGUAGGGAGCUCGUAGCAAUGUAUCGCUGCUGAUGCCGGCGGUGAGGCCGCGGAUGGCGUUGCGUGUGAGAGAUCCCCGACAGUGGGCACGCGUGUACCACCCGUGUGAUGGGGAGGGUGUCGGCGUGACUCGAAUGUAUCCCGCCCGGCCCUCGCACUGCCUCCCGGUGCGGGGAGCCUGAGUCACCGGGAGGGGGAUGAACCAGGUGGCGACCGACACGAUGUGCGCGGCUGUGAGGUGCCCUGUGAAGCAGGGGCGGGCAGAGUGUGAGGCAGGGGCCCUGCUCUCAGAUGACUGUGUCGACGGCUGCUUCGCACGAGGCGAUGGGGCCCUGUGGCAGGCCGAGUGGAGUAGUGUAUGGCUGAUGCGCUGCGGCAGAGAAGUGGGCACGCUGAUCAAAUAUGUCUCCUUCUUUCGCCUCUUGUCGUAGGCGCAGUUGUCUUUUUGUUUUACGUGUGCUCGACUUCCUUGAUCGAAGCGUCUUGUCUCGCUUUCUUGUUCGCUCUUUUCUGUUGGUCGACGGUGUUUCCUUGAGAUAUAAUUCAGGGGUGCAAGUGUCUUCGUGCAUGUCUGUGUUUGCCCCAUGCACAUCCGUCUUUGCAUCCUCAUGAGACACGGAUGUGCCUCCGUUGUUCCUCCCUCUCUCUUCCCCUCUUUUAUGUCCCUCUUUUCAUCUUCGUUUACGCAUUCGUCUGCCUUUCAUUCGAUUCUUCUCUUGCCAACAGGGCUGAGCUUUUUGGUGCAUCUUUUUUUUUUGGGUAGCGGUGUUGGUGGUCGAGUGCUAGCUGUGUUGGGCUUCUUUUUUUCUUUUCGUCGUUGUUUGUGCGCGAACAUUCGUCCAACCUCCUCCCCAGGGCCGCGUCUUCUGCCAUAGCCGUGAACAUCGAUGACUUGCUCACAGCUAUGGCAGAACUGCGAGCACGAGCGUAAGAGGAGAGCCGAGUGCGUCGGUAAAUAGCGCUUACCCUCUUUUUACUGUCCUGCUCGCUGCUGUUGAAGCAGAACCUGUGCGUACGGCGCUCUCUGCCUAUGCGCGCUUGCGCAUGCCUGUGCUCACAGCCAGCGCGACGCGGAAGUCGCAGCGUUAUGGGCUUGCAUGGUUGGUGCGAGGCGGGUGGUGGAGGCGAUCGGCCCAACGGGGGGGGGGCGGAGAUGUUUCUCCUCCUGCCGGCGUCUUUGCAUGUGCCAUUACUUCCCACUUUGCAUGUCUCAUUUCGCUUGUGCCUGUUCUCGUUCCACGGCCGAUGAUGUGCGCAUACGGACCUUCUUUUGGCCUCCACUGUAUCUUUUGUUCGUGUUUGCUUGUUCUUUGGCGCCAUUCAUCUGCUCUUUCCGUUUUUGUUUUUGGUUGUUGUUCCCCUCCUCCUCUGUCCCCGUCUUCAUGUAUAUAUUUUUUUUAUCUGUGCUUCCGUGCGCGUGUUUCCGGUCUGGGGACGACACACACACAAAAAAACCAACACACAACAAAGGGGCGACAUACUCCACCGCAUGAACAGCACACUUUCCCUGUUCGCCCCCCCCCCCUCUCCGCCUCUCGCCUCUAUUUCUUUCUCCUUUUCGUUGUUUUCGCACUUUCCCUUCCUCCCACUCUCUUUGGCAUGCACGUAGACGUCUUCGACUUCCGUUUUUUUUUUUUUCGUGUUUCCUGAGCCGCUUCGUUGCUCUGCCUUUUGCUCUCUGUGGCUCUCAUCAUUGCGCCGCCGCCACAACCGACGUUUUCUUUGCCGUUCCGCCGUCUCACUGCUCCAGUGUUCAGCAGCGCACCCCCUUUUUCCCCUUUUUUCCUUUUAUGCGCUCCGAGCGUAGCAACCCAUUGUGUUCCUCACCUCGCCUUCCCCACUCGAUAUGUGUGGAUUUGCGGCUCCUGUCUUAGUCUGCCCCCCGGCAUCGGCUGAACGGGGCCACGCCAACUUUCAAGAAUGCCUUUGUGCACCGCUCCUCAGCCUUUGCACACCGUACUAUCCUUCCCCGCGCAACGGGGGUGCACAGGCUGAGGACAUGCAACAUCACAGCGAAUUCGAACUCGUUCGUUUCGCCCCCUCCUCCUCCCCCUUUAUUUUACAACCAGGGAAG
rnacentral:misc_RNA from 1 species